GCCAAUGGUGAUAAUAAUCAAGAGUGUUUUCUAAUGAACACUAUUGAUUAGCAUCACCGAGAACCGAUACUUUACGUGGUUUAUGAUGAAGCGGUCCUUGUUUGUUUUUUUCUAUACGUUUUUUAUUUAUGCUUCCAGACACUCAUCCGGUAACAGUUUAAUCAAAACCUCCUAACAUUGAAGAAAUCGUGCUGAACAGGAACACGCAUGGACGUACAAGGAUACAACAGAAUCUUAUUAAACCCGUUUCUUUUACUAAUAAUACCACUAUUUACUAAUUUACUAAUUAUAUCAUUCUCUUCUCGUCAACAAGCGUCAUUUGAGGAUUAGGUUUUUCAUUAUAGCAUUGAAUAUACUAUAAGAAUGCCGUCAGACUAAAAAAACGUGUGACUAAUCGCUAUCUCUAUUUAUAGGUACCCGUAACCGUGAAUAGGAAUAGUAACUCAUGAGAAAAAUACUAGGAUAUAAAUCCUAGUAAUGACAUAUUAUCGGCGCGGUAAAAAA
rnacentral:lncRNA from 1 species